rnacentral:rRNA from 1 species
GAUGAACGCUAGCGGCAGGCCUAAUACAUGCAAGUCGAACGGAUAUAUGUUUUUCGGAAUAUAUAUUAGUGGCGCACGGGUGAGUAACACGUACAUAACUUGCCCUCAAGCGGGGGAUAGCCUUGGGAAACUGAGAGUAAUACCCCAUAGAAUUAUUGGACGGCAUCGUUUGAUAAUUAAAACUACGGUGUUUGGGGAUAGAUGUGCGUCUGAUUAGCUAGUUGGUGAGGUAACUGCUCACCAAGGCGACGAUCAGUAGGGGGCGUGAGAGCGUGGCCCCCCACACGGGUACUGAGACACGGACCCGACUCCUACGGGAGGCAGCAGUAAGGAAUAUUGGUCAAUGGAGGGAACUCUGAACCAGCCAUGCGCGUGAAGGAUGACGGCCCUCUGGGUUGUAAACUUACUUUUAUUAUGGGACGAAAAAAAGGACUUUUCUUAAGUCGUCUGACGGUACCAUAUGAAUAAAGCACCGGCUAACUCCGUGCCAGCAGCCGCGG